rnacentral:misc_RNA from 1 species
AAUGGGAAUGGAAAGAAAGGGAGGUCUCAAUCAAAGAGGAAAGUCGGCUGCAUUCAUGCUGCUCAAGUUGCAGCAGCACCAGCACCAGAUCUUUUUGAAGCAACGAUGAACCAGGUGAAAGAGACCUCAAAGUCCUUCACAUCGCUUCUCUUAUCCCUCAUGCGUGCUGCCCACUGGGACAUUGCUGCUGCUGUCCGCUCCAUUGAAGCUGCAACUGCCACCGCUGAAAAUGUCGCCACCAUCAACCACACUACUGCCAUAGCAUCCACCAUUGUAACCCACCAUGCCAAGUAUGCUCUGGAGUCCUACAUUUCUCGAAAAAUCUUCCAGGGCUUCGACCACGAGACGUUCUACAUGGAUGGCAGCCUUUCCUCGCUUCUCAACCCAGACCAGUUCCGCCGUGACUGCUUUACUCAGUACCGAGACAUGAAGGCCAUGGACCC